rnacentral:rRNA from 1 species
UACUCGAGUGGCGAACGGGUGAGUAACACGUGGGUUAUCUGCCCUGCACUUCGGGAUAAGCUUGGGAAACUGGGUCUAAUACCGGAUAGGAGCCAUCUUUAGUGUGGUGGUUGGAAAGUUUUUUCGGUGUAGGAUGAGCUCGCGGCCUAUCAGCUUGUUGGUGGGGUAAUGGCCUACCAAGGCGGCGACGGGUAGCCGGCCUGAGAGGGUGUACGGCCACAUUGGGACUGAGAUACGGCCCAG